rnacentral:rRNA from 1 species
UACGUAGGCAGCAAGCGUUGUUCGGAGUUACUGGGCGUAAAGAGCUCGUAGGCGGUUCGUCGCGUCGGCUGUGAAAACCUGAGGCUCAACCUCAGGCCUGCAGUCGAUACGGGCGGACUUGAGUACUGCAGGGGAGACUGGAAUUCCUGGUGUAGCGGUGAAAUGCGCAGAUAUCAGGAGGAACACCGGUGGCGAAGGCGGGUCUCUGGGCAAUAACUGACGCUGAGGAGCGAAAGCGUGGGGAGCGAACAGG